AGACAGCAAGGUACACAGCUUUGGUUGCUAAAGACGCAAAGCAAGCUGCUUCAGACAUGUCUAGGGUUCUCCAAGUUGAGAUAGAGGCAGAACAACAGAAAGUAGAAGAGAUCUCAAAGGACAAGUCCAAAGCCUUUGAAUUCAUGAAACGCCAUGGACUUCAUUUGCUAGGCACAACAUCAUUUUAGGUUUUGGCUAGGGUUUGGGAUUGGUGGUGACUACCCUUUGUCUGCAACGAUCAUGUCUGAAUACGCUAACAAGAAGACUCGUGGGGCGUUUAUCGCUGCGGUUUUCGCCAUGCAAGGGUUUGGGAUCAUGGCUGGUGGAAUCUUCGCUAUUAUUAUCUCCUCUGCUUUUGAAGCUAAGUUCCCUGCCCCGGCCUAUGCGGAUGAUGCCUUGGGGUCCACGGUAUCCCAAGCAGAUUUUGUGUGGCGUAUAAUCUUGAUGGUUGGUGCUAUCCCAGCUGCAAUGACGUAUUAUUCUAGGUCAAAGAUGCCGGAGACAGCAAGGUACACAGCUUUGGUUGCUAAAGACGCAAAGCAAGCUGCUUCAGACAUGUCUAGGGUUCUCCAAGUUGAGAUAGAGGCAGAGCAACAGAAAGUAGAAGAGAUCUCAAAGGACAAGUCCAAAGCCUUUUCCUUGUUCUCCAAGGAAUUCAUGAAACGCCAUGGACUUCAUUUGCUAGGCACAACAUCAACCUGGUUCCUCCUCGACAUCGCUUUCUACAGUCAAAACCUAUUUCAAAAAGAUAUUUUCAGCGCAAUCGGAUGGAUCCCUCCGGCGCAAACCAUGAACGCG
rnacentral:lncRNA from 1 species